UUUCUGUCAUCCCCAAUCGGAAAAUUCAUGCCAAGAUUCCCCUUGAAUCGGUGGGUUUUCAGGCGGCGGAUCCUAGAGUUAUUGGAACCGAUUGGACGAUUCAAAUCGGAUCGUUUCCUGUUCUUAAAACCCUGGUUCAUUUGUUUCUGGUUAGGCAGUUGAGCGGAAAAAAUGUCGAGUUAGCCAUUACGAUUCUGGAAAAACAAGGCAAAAACAAGGCAAGGACUUGUGCUCUUACGCUCUCUCUUUCUGUCUGCAAUGGCGGAUUCUUCUUUCAAAUGCAUCCGGUUGUCAAGGUGAAACUUAAGCCAUCAAUCCAUAACGAUGGAUUGGGCUUUUGUACAUAGAACUUGGGAAAAGUGGGUUUCUAAUAAUGUUGGUUCAUCUGGAGAACCACUGAAGGCGGCUUUGCUUAUUAAUUACGAUCCAACUGGACCUUCUCGCUUGCUUUCUAUCAUGUAAGAGGAACCCAAACUUCUUAUACUUUUAAAUCUUGGCAUGCAAUUUUCUCCCUUUAAAGUAUUUCAGUCACUUGUAUAGAGCAUUC